ensembl:lncRNA
AGAGAGAGUGAAGAGAGAGAGAGAGAGGGAAGAAAGAGAGAGAGAGUGAGAGAGGGAGAGAGAGAGAGAGAGAGAGAGUGAAGUAAGAGAUAGAGAGUGAGAGAGAGAGAGCGCUCUAGGGAAGAGAGAGAGAGAGCUCUAGGGAAGAGAGAGUGAGAAAAAGAGAGAGAGAGAGAUGUAAGAGAAAGUUAGAGGGAGAGAGAGAGAGAGAGGUAAGAGGAAGAGAGAGAGAGAGGGAAGAGAGAGAGAGGGACGAGAGACGAGAUGGACGAGAGACGAGAGGGACGAGAGGAGAGGGAGAGAGAGAGGAGAGAGAGAGAGGGAUGAGAGAGAGCGGGACGAGAGAGAGAGCGGGACGAGAGAGAGAGGGACGAGAGAGAGAGAGAGGGACGAGAGAGAGAGAGGGACGAGAGAGUUAAAGUUAGAGGGAAGAGAGAGAGAGAGAGCGAAAGGGAAGAGAGAGAUAGCGAGAGGGAAGAGUGAGAGGGAAGAGAGAGAGAGGGACGAGAGAGAGAGGGGGAUGAGAGAGAGAGAGGGACGAGAGAGAGAGAGGGACUAGAGAGUUAAAGAGAGGGA